rnacentral:misc_RNA from 1 species
CAGUCGUAACAAGGUUUCCGUAGGUGAACCUGCGGAAGGAUCAUUCAUAAUAAGUGUUUUAUGGCACUUUUUAAAUCCAUAUCCACCUUGUAUGCAAUGUCAGUCGUUCUCUUUUUUGAGAGCGACCAAACAUCAACUUAUUCUUCAACUCUUUGUCUGAAAAAUAUUAUGAAUAAAAUACUUCAAAAUACAACUUUCAACAACGGAUCUCUUGGCUCUC